GGGGAGGGGAGGAAACCGCUGAGCCCACCGGAGGGCGUCGGGGCUCGUCUCCACCCCGCGACUGGUGACUGUUCCAGGAGGCUCCGUCAAGGGCGGGGCUCAUCUCGUGCGGCAGCUUGGCCAUGCUGAAGAGCACAUAGAACAUCUCGUCCACGUUGGUGUUCUUCUUGGCGGACACCUCGAAGUAGGCGCAGUUCUCGUCCCCGGACACCAGCAGCUCGGCCUCGGUGGCAGGACUUGACCUCCAGGAUCUGCUUCUGGAGGCGCUUGACCUCGUCGAAGGACUCCCGGUUAUCCAGGCUGAACACCAGGAUGAAGACGUCACCUGCGGGGACAGGGACCCAGGUGGUGAGGCCGCCCCUCCCAGUCACUGACUCAACCCUCCCAGCCAGUCUAAGGGGGAGUCGCUGUUCUCCCCAUUUUCCAGAGCAGGAGGCUGAGGCCCCGGAGGGUUAAAGCCCUGGUUCAAGGUCACACAGCGAAUGUGUGGCUCAGCCUGGCUUAGACACAGUUAACUCCCCCGAUACUUCCCUGCAGAGCUGGAGACGGAGUGAGUGGCUUGUGAAUUUGUGCAGACUGUAUUAGAAUAAUAAUAAUAAAUACAA